UGGGGAAUAUUGGACAAUGGGCGAAAGCCUGAUCCAGCCAUGCCGCGUGAGUGAUGAAGGCCUUAGGGUUGUAAAGCUCUUUUAGCAGGGAAGAUAAUGACGGUACCUGCAGAAAAAGCCCCGGCUAACUUCGUGCCAGCAGCCGCGGUAAUACGAAGGGGGCUAGCGUUGCUCGGAAUUACUGGGCGUAAAGCGCACGUAGGCGUACUCUUAAGUCGGUGGUGAAAUCCUGGAGCUCAACUCCAGAACUGCCUUCGAUACUGGGAGUCUUGAGUUCGGGAGAGGUGAGUGGAACUGCGAGUGUAGAGGUGAAAUUCGUAGAUAUUCGCAAGAACACCAGUGGCGAAGGCGGCUCACUGGCCCGAUACUGACGCUGAGGUGCGAAAGCGUGGGGAGCAAACA
rnacentral:rRNA from 1 species